rnacentral:misc_RNA from 1 species
UCGCGUCUUACGACGGCAGUUUCAGUAGAGUUCCCAGCGUUACCUGAUGGCAACUACUGAUGGGGGUUGCGCUCGUUGCGGGACUUAACCCAACACCUCACGGCACGAGCUGACGACAGCCAUGCAGCACCUGUGCUAGCCCCCUACGGACACGGGCUUUCACCCGCUUUAACUAGCAUGUCAAACCCAGGUAAGGUUCUUCGCGUUGCAUCGAAUUAAGCCACAUGCUCCGCCGCUUGUGCGGGUCCCCGUCAAUUUCUUUGAGUUUUAACCUUGCGGCCGUACUCCCCAGGCGGAUAACUUAACGCGUUAGCUGCGCCACCAAAACUCCAAGAGCCCUGACAGCUAGUUAUCAUCGUUUACGGCGUGGACUAC